rnacentral:lncRNA from 1 species
CAAGCACUAUACGAUGUAAUUGGAGUUAGUCCAGUAGCUAAUAUCUUGGGUUAAUUUCAGUAGCUAAUAUCUUGGGUUAAUGAAUUUUUGUCAUGCAGGGCUUUCUGAGUUUCAGUCUAUGCAAGAUGUGUGCUACUUUUUCUCUAAGCCUAAGUACAGGGGUGCCAAGCGGAAACGGUCAGGACAACAACAACAUAGAAAAACCAAGUCAGGAACCUGGAAAAAGACUGGCAGUGAUUCUGAGAUGAAGCGGAAAAACAGUACUGAGGUGAUUGGUAACAAAGACUAUCUUGUUUUUAUCCACAACGAUGCUACUUCCGAGAAAGUUAACACAAAGUGGCUUAUGCACGAGAUAGCUAUUGCGGAUGACCCUCUCUAUAAGGUGCGAGCUUUGUUUAGAAUAAAUUGGACAUGUUUUGCAAAUACUAGAAAGCUGCUGUACCGUACAUCCGCCUUGGCCGUACAGCAGCUAUUGAUAAUGAAAAAAUAAAAAAUAAUUAAAUAAACUAUUAUAGUUGCCUAAACUGUAUUAUUCGAAUAAAUUUUUUUAUGUUAUUUAAUCAAUUAUGUCUAUCUUUUUUCAAGUUUUUUUUAAUAAAAAAAUUGGACAUGGAAACUUUUAUAGAUUAUCCAAACUUUUAAGUUUCAACUUUUCUAUUGAUUUUAUUCCAUGAUUUUAAUUAAUUGUAUAUAUUGAUAUAAACAAAUCAGAUUUUUUUCUUUUUGGUGUGUCAGAAUUUAAAACUUUGAAUGUAUUAUUUUAGUACUAUUUAAAAUAUUAAUUUAUUUAGAUCUUAUUUAAUUUUAAAUUUAAUUAGUAGUCAAAUUAAUUUUAUAUUAUUUUUAUUUAAUUAUUUAGUGGAUUGGAUAUAAUGAAAAUAAUCCAAAAUGAAUCUACAAAAUAGUAGAUUGGAUAUAAAUUGCAUCAAAUCUGCAUUCAAUCCAUGAACAUAUUCGAUUGGAUGUGGAUUGAAUUUCAUAGAUAUAUAGAUUGAAUGGAAUUAAAUAUUUGUAACCCAAAAAAUCUUAGAUUGGAUAUGAAUUGGUGUCUAAUUUGCAAACACCCUUACUCUAUAUGGACUUUGGUCCCUAAUUUGUUAUGACUUUUUUCUAAUAUUAUUGUUGGACCUUAAUUACUUUUCAGGUUAAGCUUUUAGAAUUUUUUUUGCUAGCAAAAGAAGAUAUAACCUCGAUAUUAUUAUUGAUGGUGUGAUGUUGAUUAACCUUUCUCAUGUUGAACGAUAUAAUUUGUAUAAAGUAAUGCUCGAUAAAUUGCUAAUUUUAAUUAAAUAAUAAUUUUUUACUGUUUGAACUUGGGACCAACAUACUAAAUUAAUAAUUUAUAAGAUAUUAAAUUAUAAAAAUUAAAAAAAUUGAUAGGACCCACUAACUAUAUAAAUUAAUAUUUAGCUAAUCCCAAAUUUAAUCCGGAGCCGGCUACUCUGCAUCAGUGAUUCCAAAUCCCCCAAUUUUGUCUUUACCAAACUGACCGUUUGAUAUUAUCUAAUGGAUGGUGAUUGAACACAUAGAUAAGUAAGAGUAACCUAAUAAACAAGUUCAGAGCCGGUCACCAAAAAUUCUACAAUUGUAUGGUACACAAUUACAAGUAACUGGUUGAAAACAAUUAAUACAUUCUUAAAUGCAAGAUCUCGUUAGAUGCAUGACAACGUUACAUGCCAAUUUCCGUUGGAAUAAAAUUCACAUAUAAUGCGAUAAAGAUAAAAUAAGUUCAUGAAUAAAAUAGCCAGUUCCUUAACCAUUUACGUUCAGAGUUGAAAAGAACUCCAUUUUUUGGAGAAAAAAUAGAAAUUGGGGAAAGCAUAUGCAAUAGGGUUAAUAUCAUCAGCAUUGGAAGCAGCCUCUGCUUGUGCUUGUUCCCACUCCCGUCGGUGGCAGCAGCCUCUGCUUCUGAUUGUUCCCACUCCUGUCGGCUGUUUUGCUGAUAGCCCUACGAACUUCUCCCCUUUCUAUUUUGGUACUUCUUCUCAAUAUGGGCAAUCUCAACCGUCCUAUUUGCCUUAAUGAUCUGCCGGCGGUUGGCGAUAAGUCUGAUUUUGCUCCUGCCCCUACCAAGGACUAGGAUUGACCAUACCAGAACGACCUUUGUCGGCUUCCACCUAGAACCCUUUGACCAAGUUGCCAAGAUUUUAAGGGAGAGCAGCGCAUCUCGUAAUGCCUAAAAGGUUUCCACUUUGAGUUUUUAUUUUUUCGAAUUAGAAAUCCUUGCACAUGGGGUUUUGCUCUAUUUUGGUGAUUCACACACACAUAAAUAUUCUUGUGGGCUUUUCAAUUUAAUACAUAUUUUUAGCUUUUUAAAUUGAAAAAAACAAACAACUUAAUACUUAUUUUCUGAGAUUCAGACGAAAAAACAAACAUAUGAUUCAGAUUCAGACAUUCAGACCUAUUCAGAAUUCAGACUAAUUCAGGUCUAUUCAGAUUUUAGACAAAAAAAUAAACGUCACCUAAGUGUACAUUUAAGUUUUUAAGUUAUGAUUUGGUGAUAGGUUUGUGUUGUAUUUACAGGACACUAUGUCAAGUUUGUUUUUUUCCUUUCUUGAUUCAAAUGUGGUCCUCACUUAAAAUAACUUAGGUGGAUAAACUAUAGCAUACUGAAAAAAUUCUUCAAAUUUCUUAUCAUAUCUUAGUAUGCGCCAUGCGGAGCCAUUCCUUUUUUAUUUUUCGUUGGGUCAUAGUAAUUGUAGUUGCUUUGUUAAGUUGUUAGCCAUUGAACUAAUCAAGAUUGGGAGUCUUUGGGUUCUUCUAAACGAAAAAAAAAAGGUGUUGUAUUUAAUUUAACCCAUAUGACUUACUUGCCAUACUUGGGCCUUGUUUCGUGUGUGUGUGUGUAUAUAUUGAUAGAUAGAAUAACUUUGCUCCUUUUUAAUGCAAUUUAUUAUUAAUCUUCUACAUUUUACAAAUAUAUAUAUCACUCAUCACUCGUUCACGGAGCAUCAAACACGAUCCACUACUUCUGUACACUCUCGCUAUUUCCACCUUAACGCCGUUGGGAAACAUCACUAUCACUAUGCGCAGAAAUUAAGUCGAGCCACAGAGGUAGAAUGACGUGCAAUAACGACGUGUUAAUACUUUUUGUUAACAGAACACUAUAUAUAUAUAUAUAUAUAUAUCCCUUUCAUUUCUGCUAGGGAAAAGGACACAGAGACCCUUAAUAUUUGAAUAAGGGACAUAAAAUCCCUUAAUGUUUCAAAAAAGACACUCAGACCCCAAUUGACUAACGGAAACCGUUUGUUUUAACAGAAAUUAUAAUUUUAAAGUGCAAUUACCAUUAUACCCUUAUAGCAUAUUAAAAACUAAUUGUUCAUUGUCCAAUUUAUCCCACAAACACAACCAGCAACCAAACACGAGCACAAGCAGCAGCCAAACCCGAGCACAAGCAGCGGCCAAACACGAGCACAACCAGCAGCCAAACGCAAGCACAACCAGCCGCCAAAAGCGAGCACAACUAGCAACUAAACGCGAGCACAAGCAGCAGCCAAACGCGAACACAAGCAGCAGCCAAACGCGACCAAUUCCAGCAGCCAAACGCGAGCAGUUCCAACAGCCAAACGCGAGAUUUCAGCAGUUCCAACAACACAAGCAACAACCAAACGUCGAUCGACAGCAGAUCCGGCAACUAGACUCGGUCUCGAUCCACGCACGAGCAGUUCCAGCAGCUUCCGGUAACGCGAGCAGCAACUUCCGGCAGCCCCAGCAGCAUUCGGCGAGGCAAACCGUGAGUGUGUUAAAAGAUUUGUCUGAAAUCAGUAUCAGUGCGUGUGUACGUGGGGUUUGUUUGUGCGUGUGAUGCGUGUGUGGGUUUUUAGUCAAUUCACUUGUUUUUAAUUUGUAAUUACGAUUUUAACCUUUUAAUGAUUUAACGGAACGAUUUCCGUUAGUCAAUUGGGGUCUGAGUGUCCUGCUAUCCUGGUGUUACUUGUCUAAAUUUCAUUUUCAAAUAGUAUUACUACCCACUGACUGUUCGCGGACCAAAUUGAUACAGAUAUAGCUCUUAACCUCUGUUUCUCGUGUGUGCGAAUCAGAAAUGGACAGUCUCACAGGCAUUGGAUUCCGGCCAUUGGAUGAAGAAAUCAUUGAUCUCCUGAAGAAGAAGAGGCUUGACCGUGGUUUCUCUGUUGAAACGAUCAAGGAAAUUGAUUUUUAUAGCUUUGACCCCUGGGACCUAGCCGGUAAGUAUCACGCCCAACAAGCACUAUACGAUGUAAUUGGAGUUAGUCCAGUAGCUAAUAUCUUGGGUUAAUUUCAGUAGCUAAUAUCUUGGGUUAAUGAAUUUUUGUCAUGCAGGGCUUUCUGAGUUUCAGUCUAUGCAAGAUGUGUGCUACUUUUUCUCUAAGCCUAAGUACAGGGGUGCCAAGCGGAAACGGUCAGGACAACAACAACAUAGAAAAACCAAGUCAGGAACCUGGAAAAAGACUGGCAGUGAUUCUGAGAUGAAGCGGAAAAACAGUACUGAGGUGAUUGGUAACAAAGACUAUCUUGUUUUUAUCCACAACGAUGCUACUUCCGAGAAAGUUAACACAAAGUGGCUUAUGCACGAGAUAGCUA